rnacentral:rRNA from 1 species
AUUGAACGCUGGCGGCAGGCCUAACACAUGCAAGUCGAACGAGUGGCGGACGGGUGAGUAAUGUCUGGGAAACUGCCCGAUGGAGGGGGAUAACUACUGGAAACGGUAGCUAAUACCGCAUACCAUCGGAUGUGCCCAGAUGGGAUUAGCUAGUAGGUGGGGUAACGGCUCACCUAGGCGACGAUCCCUAGCUGGUCCGAGAGGAUGACCAGCCACACUGGAACUGAGACACGGUCCAGACUCCUAAGGGGGGCAGCAGUGGGGAAUAUGGCACAAUGGGCGCAAGCCUAAUGCAGCCAUGACGCGUGUAUGAAGAAAGCCUUCGGGUUGUAAGGUACUUUCAGCGGGGAGGCAUUGCUCGCAGGAGAAGCACCGGCUAACUCCGUGCCAGCAGCCGCGGUAAUUC